UCCUACGGGAGGCAGCAGUGGGGAAUUUUGGACAAUGGGGGCAACCCUGAUCCAGCGACGCCGCGUGAAGGAUGAAGGUCUUCGGAUUGUAAACUUCUUUUGGAGGGGAUGAAUGCCCCCGUGAAAAACGGGGGGUGACAGUACUCUCUGAAUAAGCCACGGCUAACUACGUGCCAGCAGCCGCGGUAAUACGUAGGUGGCAAGCGUUACUCGGAAUCACUAGGCGUAAAGCGCAGGUAGGCGGUUCAGUAAGUCUUUUGUGAAAGCUCCCGGCUCAACUGGGAGAGGCCAAGGGAAACUACUGGGCUAGAGUAUGGUAGAGGAAGCUGGAAUUCCCGGUGUAGCGGUGAAAUGCGUAGAGAUCGGGAGGAAUACCUAAGGCGAAAGCAGGCUUCUGGGCCAUUACUGACACUGAUCUGCGAAAGCUAGGGGAGCAAACAGGAUUAGAUACCCCGGUAGC
rnacentral:rRNA from 1 species